CCUGCCAGUAGUCAUAUGCUUCGUUCAAGGGCUAAGCCAUGCAUGUCUCAGCGUACAUGGUCUCCCACAGUGGGUCUGUGAAUGGCUCCUUACAUCAGCAGUCAUCUCCGUGAUAAAGUGUGCACCUGCCAUGGUGGACCAUUGGACAUCCACCGAAACUCAGUGGCUAAUACACGAUUGAGCAAGCCUGCUGCAGCAUGGUAGCUGCCCAGUGGUUCUUCCACAGGCUCCUGCCAGUGGUGGACUGCAACCAGCUGUCUGGUAAGACCAGCGUCUGGUAAGAGGACAGUGUACUGUGGUGACUCAGGCUGGUUCCUUGGUGGAGCCUUGCACUGGCAGAGUGGUGGCCUUCUGGCCACAGCCUUGCUUGAUCACACGGGCUUCUGACCUAUCAGCUUGGACUGUGGUGUAUUGGACCACAGUGGCAGUUACGGGUAACGGAGAAUCAGGGUUCGACUCCGGAGAGGGAGCCUGAGAGAUGGCUACCACUACCAAGGUGGGCAGCAGGCACGCAAAUUGCCCAAUGCCAAAGCAGUGGUGAGGCAGCGACGAACUGCAGCAAUCCUGCCUGCCCCAGUGGCUGGUGGGACUUGUAAUGGAUGCUACCCACACACAGUGAUGAGUAUCAACUGGAGGGCAAGUCUGGUGCCAGCAGCUGCGGUAAUUCCAGCUCCAAGAGUGUAUACUGACAUUGCUGCUGUAAAACGCUUGUAGUCGACUGCUGGGUCCAGGUCUGCCAAGGUGGCUGGUGGCUGGCUGUCUCAGGGCAACCUGUUGCAGUCAGCUGCUGGAACUCAACCCCUGGCAGUAUGUUCCUGUUCCCGUUCCAAUGGUGGUGAGAACUGCCCUUGCUCCAAGCCUCCUUCAGUGGAGGCUGAUGCGGCAACAUGCCCAAAGCACAUGUUGACAGCUGGGGCCAGGCCUUGUGCCUGGCAUCCCUUGUUGGCCACCAGGGUCCACCACUGCUGAUACUGUGGAAAACUCAGUGUGCUCCAAGCAGCCUGUUGGCUGAAUGUCCGUCCAUGGAAUGUCCAAGCAUCAACCUGGUGUGGCUGUGGAGUUGUGCUGGCCUUGGUGCCCAACCAGGGGAAUGUGGGCCUUGUGCCCUGGCAGUCAAGGGAUGGUGCCCUCGGGUGCUUGACCUUCUGCCAUGGGUUGCUUGGUCUGAUUGUCCAUGAUGGGACUGCUCGAGGUGAAGGGUACUGCAGCGCUAGUGGUGAAAUACUUAGACCGCUGCCUGACCAACUGCAGCGAAGGCGCUCUGCAAGUGCAUGUUCGUCGAUCAAGAACGAGAGUGUGGGGAGCGAAGAUGAUCAGACACCGUCGUAGUCCACUACUGUAAACCAUGCCAGCUUGGUGCUGAGUGUGCAAGUACAGAGACACUCCCAGCACCAGUCCCUCUGCAACGAGAAAUCCCAAGCCUGUGGGUUUCAGGGGGGAGUACUGUCGCAAGGCUGAAACUUAAAGGAAUUGACGGAAUGGCACCACCCAGGUGUGGAGUAUGCGGCUUAAUUUGACUCAACACGGGGAAUGUUACCAGGUCAGGACAAUGCUUGGAUGGACAGAUUGAGAGCUCUUUCUUGAUCCUUUGGAUGGUGGUGCAUGGCCGCUCCUGAUUGGUGGAGUGAUUUGUCUGGUUGAUUCCGUUAACGAGUGAGAUAUCUGCCUCCCACUAGCUCCUGGCUCGUAUCUGUAGGGCUUGGCCCACCUCAACCAUGGUUCUCUCGGGAGCCUUGGGGCAGUGGUGCCACCUGAGAGCCAUGGAUCAAGCUUCUCUGAGGUGCUGUGCACACCACCAAGUGCAUGCAUGCUAGAGCCAACAGCAGGUCUGUGAUGCUCCCAGAUGUCCUGGGCCGCACGCGCACUACAUUGGUCCAGUGAGUAUGUUGCUUACCCACUUGCUGGGUCCUGGCUGGAAGUGGCUGGGAAACCCUUGGAGCCUGGGCCGUACUGGGGAUAGAUGCUUGCAACUGUCUGCCUUGAACGAGGAAUACCUAGUAUGCUCAAGUCAUCAGCUUGAACAGAUUGCGUCCCUGCCAUUUGUACACACCGCCCGUCGUUGCUACCGAUGGCAGCAGGAUAGAGCCAUUAGGAGGCCCUUGCCACUCCUGUGGCAGGGCUGAAACUGGGCAAUGUCCUGCUGCUAGAGGAAGCAAAAGUCGUAAACAAGGUUGAUUGUAGGUGAA
rnacentral:rRNA from 1 species